CGCAGCCGCGGUAAUUCCAGCUCCAAUAGCGUAUAUUAAAGUUGUUGCAGUUAAAAAGCUCGUAGUUGAAUUUCGGGAUCAAUAUAUCGGUCGUGCCAUCGGUACGUACUGGUAUCAUUGGUUUCUCCUUUCUGACGAACCAUGAUGUCAUUAAUUUGGUGUUAUGGGAAGUUUAGGACUGUUACUUUGAAAAAAUUAGAGUGUUUAAAGCAGGCUUUAGCUUGAAUACAUUAGCAUGGAAUAAUGAAAUAGGACGUUCGAACCUAUUUGUUGGUUUCUAGGAUCAACGUAAUGAUUAAUAGGGAUAGUUGGGGGCAUUAGUAUUCAAUUGUCAGAGGUGAAAUUCUUGGAUUUAUUGAAGACUAACUACUGCGAAAGCAUUUGCCAAGGAUGUUUUCAUUAAUCAAGAACGAAAGUUAGGGAUCGAAGACGAUCAGAUACCGUCGUAGUCUUAACCAUAAACCUAUGCCGAUAGGGAUCGGAUGAUGUUAAUUUUUAUGUACUCAUUCGGCGCCUUACG
rnacentral:rRNA from 1 species